UUUUUUUUAAUAAAAUUCUAGUAUUUUUAUUGAUGAUGGCUUCUUUUUUUUCGGUAAGGUGUGGGGCUAAGGGACUGAAUCAAAUGAAUGUAACAAAACAAAAACAAACAAGCCUAUUCUCAGGGCCAGUGAUCGGCAGAGCACAC